rnacentral:rRNA from 1 species
CACGUAGUUAGCCGGGGCUUCUUAAUCAGGUACCGUCAUUUUCUUCCCUGCUGAUAGAGCUUUACAUACCGAAAUACUUCUUCACUCACGCGGCGUCGCUGCAUCGGGGUUUCCCCCAUUGUGCAAUAUUCCCCACUGCUGCCUCCCGUAGGAGUUUGGGCCGUGUCUCAGUCCCAAUGUGGCCGUUCACCCUCUCAGGCCGGCUACUGAUCGUCGCCUUGGUGAGCCAUUACCCCACCAACAAGCUAAUCAGACGCGGAACCAUCGUAUACCACCAGAGUUUUUCACACCACUUCAUGCGAAGCUGUGCGCUUAUGCGGUAUUAGCACCUAUUUCUAAGUGUUAUCCCCCAGUAUACGGCAGGUUUUCCACGCGUUACUCACCCGUCCGCCACUAACUCAUAAAUCACUAGGUUUCAAUAUGAGUCCGUUCGACUUGCAUGUGUUAAGCACGCCGCCAGCGUUCAUCCUGAGCCAGGAUCAAACUCU